UGGGGAAUAUUGCACAAUGGGCGCAAGCCUGAUGCAGCCAUGCCGCGUGUAUGAAGAAGGCCUUCGGGUUGUAAAGUACUUUCAGUCGGGAGGAAGGUGGUAAGGUUAAUAACCUUGGCAAUUGACGUUACCGACAGAAGAAGCACCGGCUAACUCCGUGCCAGCAGCCGCGGUAAUACGGAGGGUGCAAGCGUUAAUCGGAAUUACUGGGCGUAAAGCGCACGCAGGCGGUUGAUUGAGCCAGAUGUGAAAUCCCCGGGCUUAACCCGGGAAUUGCAUCUGAUACUGGUCAGCUAGAGUCUUGUAGAGGGGGGUAGAAUUCCAGGUGUAGCGGUGAAAUGCGUAGAGAUCUGGAGGAAUACCGGUGGCGAAGGCGGCCCCCUGGACAAAGACUGACGCUCAGGUGCGAAAGCGUGGGGAGCAAACAGG
rnacentral:rRNA from 1 species